rnacentral:rRNA from 1 species
GGUGGUUGUACUGGUGUAAGAGUGUAGGCCGUGACAUAGGCAAAUCCGUGUCACAUUAAGGCUGAGACUUGAUGCAUACCCGUUGUGGGGAAUUCAGUGAUCCUAUGCUGCCGAGAAAAGCCUCUAGUGAGUUCAUACACGGCCCGUACCCCAAACCGACACAGGUGAUCAGGUAGAGAAUACCAAGGCGAUCGAGAGAACUGUGGUUAAGGAACUCGGCAAAAUGCCCCCGUAACUUCGGGAGAAGGGGGACCAUGCCCGGUGAACAUCUUCACGGUGGGAGCUGGGUGUGGUCGCAGAGACCAGAGAGAAGCGACUGUUUACUAAAAACACAGGUCCGUGCGAAGACGUAAGUCGAUGUAUACGGACUGACGCCUGCCCGGUGCUGGAAGGUUAAGAGGACCGGUUAGCCGUAAGGCGAAGCUGAGAAUUUAAGCCCCAGUAAACGGCGGUGGUAACUAUAACCAUCCUAAGGUAGCGAAAUUCCUUGUCGGGUAAGUUCCGACCUGCACGAAUGGCGUAACGACUUCUCUGCUGUCUCGACCACAGACUCGGCGAAAUUGCACUACGAGUAAAGAUGCUCGUUACGCGCGGCAGGACGAAAAGACCCCGGGACCUUUACUAUAGCUUGGUAUUGGCGUUCGAUUCGGUUUGUGUAGGAUAGGUGGGAGACUGUGAAGCAUGCACGCCAGUGCGUGUGGAGUCGUUGUUGAAAUACCACUCUGAUCGUAUUGGACGUCUAACCUCGGCCCAUGAUCUGGGUUAGGGACAGUGCCUGGUGGGUAGUUUAACUGGGGCGGUUGCCUCCUAAAGAGUAACGGAGGCGCCCAAAGGUUCCCUCAGCCUGGAUGGCAAUCAGGUGUUGAGUGCAAGUGCACAAGGGAGCUUGACUGUGAGACUGACACGUCGAGCAGGGACGAAAGUCGGGACUAGUGAUCCGGCACCGGCAAGUGGAAGCGGUGUCGCUCAACGGAUAAAAGGUACCCCGGGGAUAACAGGCUGAUCUUCCCCAAGAGUCCAUAUCGACGGGAUGGUUUGGCACCUCGAUGUCGGCUCGUCGCAUCCUGGGGCUGGAGUAGGUCCCAAGGGUUGGGCUGUUCGCCCAUUAAAGCGGCACGCGAGCUGGGUUUAGAACGUCGUGAGACAGUUCGGUCUCUAUCCGCCGCGCGCGUAAGAAACUUGAGGAAGGCUGUCCCUAGUACGAGAGGACCGGGACGGACGAAUCUCC